ACAAAAAAGUAAAAUGGAUUUUAUCAUACUUGGAAAAUCAACAAUUGCAGUCUGGAUUCAUACAUCACUGUUUGAUGCACCCAACUUGAGUCAGAAAGAUGCUUCAAAUCCCACUAGGUUGGAGGCAAAAAUACUCAAGAUUUUAAGAGCAUCUCUUGACAGUGUACAGAAUAAGACAGCUUCUCAGCUUUCAGCUUUACUUCACAGUUUUAACUAUCAAAAGAAGCAAGCCAUCUGAAGAUUUGCCUGAGACUGAAGGAUCCACUUCUGCAAUGACUCCCUCAGGUUCUCUCAUCAGAACUGACUAGGCGGGUGACGUGAUCCAUGGAGAGAAAGGAAGAGCAAUGUGGUGUGGCAGCCCUCCUGAGAGCCACAUGGGGCAGAGGAGUCCCCACCUCCCAGCCAAGAUGGAACCAGAUUGAGAAAAACCAACCAACCAACCAACCAACCAACCGACCAACAUGAUGGCUGAACCAGACAAGAGAAGUCCUGAAGUAAAAUACCCAUCAAUUACCAGAACCUGUGACUGCCAUACG